rnacentral:rRNA from 1 species
UACGGAGGGUGCGAGCGUUAUCCGGAUUCACUGGGUUUAAAGGGUGCGUAGGUGGGUCUGUAAGUCAGUGGUGAAAUCUCCGAGCUUAACUCGGAAACUGCCAUUGAUACUAUAGGUCUUGAAUUAUCUGGAGGUGAGCGGAAUAUGUCAUGUAGCGGUGAAAUGCUUAGAUAUGACAUAGAACACCAACUGCGAAGGCAGCUCACUACGGAUAUAUUGACACUGAGGCACGAAAGCGUGGGGAUCAAACAGG